GCACCGGUGGCUCAGUUGGAUAGAGCAACGGACUACGAAUCCGUAGGUCGGGGGUUCGAAUCCCUCCCGGUGCGCCA
rnacentral:tRNA from 1 species